AUGCACAUUAAAACAUAUCAUUGGUUAAAUAUAUCAAAUAAUAUAUAAAAAUCACCAAUAAGAUUGCAAGAUAUAUUAUAGUAUUUAUUAAAUUGUGUAAAUAAUCAAUAAUUUAACAAAUAUUUAAUAUUUAUUUUGUUGAUUAAUAAUUAUUUUACAGAUUUAUUAUGAAUUUUAAAUUUUUAUACAAAUUUAUUUAAUAUAUUCAUCAACAUAUUUAUAUGUUUCAAUUGUGAACUACGCUUUACAAAUAAAAAAAAUUAUAUUAUAAUCAAACAGAUGGAGUUCAAUUAACAGUUGAUUAUCUUGUUUCAAUUUAUCUCAAUUGUCUUCUUAUUGUGAUUUAAUAUGAUUGUUACUAAGCGACAAAAUUUUUAUAAAAAUGUGUUUGUUUUAAUUUUUUUAAUUUUAAAGUUUUGUGAAAAUGAAUUUAAAGAAAUAUAGAAUUGACAUAUUUUAAAUAAUAUAACUAAAAUAAUAAUUUUUAAAAAUGUACAUAUUUUUACAUAAUAAAAUUUUUUUUAAUAAGAAAAAGUUUUAUUAUAAAUUGAAUAUCAAUUAAACAAAUAUAAUAAUAUUAAUGAAAUAUCACUUACCUUAUUUUUAAUAUAUAAUAAUAAUUUACAAAUUUUUUUAUAAAAAUAAUAAUAAAAGUAAUAAGUUAAAAAUGGGGCAGUGUAAGGAACAGGAUAAAGGAUGAUCAAUAUUUUACAUAUUUUGAAAUUCAUCAGUACCAUUAGCAUUGAGCAUAAGUAUAUUAGGAUUCUCCUUUUCAAAGGCAGUUGCAUCUCUACCUCCAGGUCGUUCUUCCUGACCCCAUUCACCCAAGGCCCCACACAUCACAUCUGGUUGUUCUCGCAAUUUCUCCUCUUCCUUCUGUGACAUUACUAACAAUUUAUGGUCAAACAUAUCACAUCAAUGUAAUUUAAAAAUUUAUUUAGAGUAUAUAUUUUAUAUGUGAUGUAAAUUUAAUCAACAUUAUUAUAUUUUAAUUUUUUUAUUAUAAAUUAUAAUAUUAUAAUUAUAAAGGACAUUAAUAAUUAAAAUCAUACAUAUAAAUGAGUAAUAAAAAAAUAAUUGGAAUCCUA